CCCUGGUCACUAACGUUAACAUUGGCGCCGUCUGUGGGAAGCCAACACAAAGGCUUCGUCACCUACCACAAACUUUGACCCGCAAGCGUCGAGCCAACGAUUUAUAAUGGUUGCUUCGGUAGAAAAUGAUCCAGGUGGUGGAAGUGAGGUUGAAACAUCAGGACCUGUAACCUCCUCUUUAAGCAAGGUUUUUCUUCCAUGCUCAAACGUUGAGGCUGUGAGCAGAACAUUAUAGAGCAAGGAUGAUCUAGCUAGCAUGUUCUAUAUUUGAAUAUUAGUUUAAUUAUACUAUGAUUUUGUAAUAUGAAGUUGUUUAAAUGACAUAAUGUACUAUAUGAAUGCUUUUGUUUAUUAUCCUUGAAUGAAAGGGUUUAAUUAAAACAUUGUCUAUUAGAAGUGU